rnacentral:rRNA from 1 species
CAGUAGCCACGGUAAAACGUAGGUGGCAAGCGUUGUCCGGAAUUAUUGGGCGUAAAGGGCUCGCAGGCGGUUUCUUAAGUCUGAUGUGAAAGCCCCCGGCUCAACCGGGGAGGGUCAUUGGAAACUGGGAAACUUGAGUGCAGAAGAGGAGAGUGGAAUUCCACGUGUAGCGGUGAAAUGCGUAGAGAUGUGGAGGAACACCAGUGGCGAAGGCGACUCUCUGGUCUGUAACUGACGCUGAGGAGCGAAAGCGUGGGGAGCGAACAGGAUUAGAUACCCCGUAGUCCCUGUCUCUUAUACA